CCUGGGCUGCCGGGUACCCCGUGUCCGCCGGCGCCGCUGUGCCCCGCGCCCGCCACUUCCGGGGCCGCAGUCCCGGGCAUGGAGCCGCGAGUGUGAGGUGCCGCCGGCUCCGGGACGCCCUGCCCAGCCCGGCCGCCGCCCUCGCGCCGGCCCCCAGUCCCGGUCUGUGAACCACAUCUGCAGCUGAAAUGGAGGCUCUCUGGACUCUUUAGAAGGCUCACCCACCCUGAGGCCAGCCAAGUGGUUAAUGCGGAAGGUUAAGAAGCUGCGGCUGGACACCGUGAACGCAGGACAUUGGAGAAGCUUCUCGCUGAAUUCCCAGGGGGCGGAGAGGAUGGCCACCGGGGUGCUGACGUCUGAGCGGGGUGACGCGGCGGAGACGGAGGACCCGGCGUCCCGCUUCCAGGUGCAGAAGCACUCGUGGGAGGGGCUCCGCAGCAUCAUCCACGGUAGCCGCAAGAACUCGGGCCUCGUGGUCAACAAGGCGCCACACGACUUCCAGUUCGUGCAGAAGACUGACGAGUCAGGCCCCCACUCCCACCGCCUCUACUACCUGGGGAUGCCUUAUGGCAGCCGAGAGAACUCCCUCCUCUACUCCGAGAUCCCCAGGAAGGUCCGCAAGGAGGCGCUGCUGCUCCUGUCGUGGAAACAGAUGCUGGAUCACUUCCAGGCCACACCGCACCACGGGGUCUACUCCCGGGAGGAGGAGCUGCUGCGGGAGCGGAAACGCCUGGGCGUCUUUGGCAUCACCUCCUACGACUUCCACAGCGAGAGCGGCCUCUUCCUUUUCCAGGCCAGCAACAGUCUCUUCCACUGCCGGGAUGGCGGCAAGAAUGGCUUCAUGGUGUCCCCCAUGAAGCCCCUGGAAAUCAAGACCCAGUGUUCGGGGCCACGAAUGGACCCUAAGAUCUGUCCCGCCGACCCUGCCUUCUUCUCCUUUAUCAACAACAGUGACUUGUGGGUGGCCAACAUUGAGACGGGCGAGGAGCGGAGGCUGACCUUCUGCCACAAGGGCUUGUCUAGUGUCCUCGACGACCCCAGGUCUGCGGGUGUGGCCACCUUUGUCAUCCAGGAGGAAUUUGACCGCUUCACUGGCUACUGGUGGUGCCCCACAGCCUCUUGGGAGGGGUCAGAAGGCUGCAAGACGCUGCGGAUCCUGUACGAGGAAGUGGACGAAUCCGAGGUGGAGAUCAUCCACGUGCCCUCCCCUGCGCUGGAGGAAAGGAAGACGGACUCCUACCGGUACCCGCGGACAGGCAGCAAGAACCCCAAGAUCGCCUUGAAACUGGCUGAGUUCCAGACCGACAGUCAGGGCAAGAUCGUGUCGGCUCAGGAGAAGGAGCUGGUGCAGCCAUUCAGCUUGCUCUUCCCGAAGGUCGAGUACCUUGCCAGGGCCGGCUGGACCCAGGAUGGCAAGUAUGCCUGGGCCAUGUUCCUGGACCGGCCCCAGCAGCGCCUCCAGCUGGUCCUCCUGCCCCCAGCCCUGUUCAUCCCUACCACCGACAACGAGGAGCAGCGGGCGGCCUUCGCCAGGGCUGUGCCCAGGGAUGUCCAGCCGUACGUGGUGUAUGAGGAGGUCACCGAUGUGUGGAUCAAUGUUCACGACAUCUUCUACCCCUUCCCCCAAGCAGAGGGAGCAGACGAGCUCUGCUUCAUUCGCGCCAACGAGUGCAAGACUGGCUUCUGCCACCUGUACAAAGUCACCGCUGUCCUGCGGCCCCGCGGCUACGACUGGACCCAGCCCUUCAGCCCUGGGGAAGAUGAAUUUAAAUGCCCCAUCAAGGAGGAGAUCGCACUGACCAGCGGCGAGUGGGAGGUUUUGGCGAGGCACGGCUCCAAGAUCUGGGUCAACGAGGAGACGAAGCUGGUGUACUUCCAAGGCACGAAGGACACACCCCUGGAGCACCACCUUUAUGUGGUCAGCUACGAGGUGGCCGGCGAGAUCGUGCGCCUCACCACGCCUGGCUUCUCCCACAGCUGCUCCAUGAGCCAGAACUUCGACAUGUUCGUCAGCCACUAUAGCAGCGUGGGUACACCACCCUGCGUGCACGUCUACAAGCUCAGCGGCCCCGACGACGACCCUCUGCACAAGCAGCCCCGGUUCUGGGCCAGCAUGAUGGAGGCAGCCAGCUGCCCCCCGGAUUACGUGCCUCCAGAAAUCUUCCAUUUCCACACGCGGUCAGACGUGCGGCUCUACGGCAUGAUCUACAAGCCCCACUCCGUGCAGCCAGGGAGGAAGCACCCCACUGUCCUCUUUGUGUAUGGAGGCCCACAGGUGCAGCUGGUCAAUAACUCCUUCAAAGGAAUCAAGUACUUGCGGCUCAACACCCUGGCAUCCCUGGGCUAUGCUGUGGUCGUGAUUGACGGCAGGGGCUCCUGUCAGCGAGGGCUUCGAUUUGAAGGGGCUCUUAAAAACCAGAUGGGCCAGGUGGAAAUCGAGGACCAGGUGGAGGGCUUGCAGUUCGUGGCCGAGAAGUAUGGCUUCAUUGACCUGAGCCGUGUGGCCAUUCACGGUUGGUCCUACGGAGGCUUCCUCUCGCUCAUGGGGCUGAUCCACAAGCCCCAGGUGUUCAAGCAGCCCCACGGGGCCGAGCCCCCCUCCUCAUUGCCCGCCACUGCUGACCCCAGGAUGGCGUCCGGCUGCACAAAACCCCGCCAGCAGCUCUCUGUGGGAGGCUGAGCUCGGGACCCCGGCCCCGGACGGGCAGAGGUGGCCAUCGCAGGCGCCCCGGUCACAGUAUGGAUGGCCUACGACACGGGCUACACAGAACGCUACAUGGAUGUCCCAGAGAACAACCAGCUUGGCUAUGAGGCGGGUUCCGUGGCCCUGCACGUGGAGAAGCUGCCCAAUGAGCCCAACCGUCUGCUCAUCCUGCACGGCUUCCUGGAUGAGAACGUGCACUUUUUCCAUACAAAUUUCCUUGUCUCCCAGCUGAUCCGCGCAGGAAAGCCUUACCAGCUCCAGAUCUACCCCAACGAGAGACACAGCAUCCGCUGCCCUGAGUCCGGUGAGCACUAUGAAGUCACACUGCUGCACUUUCUUCAGGAACACCUCUGAGCCUGGGGCCGCCUCGGGAGGGGCCUGCACAGUCAGAGCACAAGUGGCUCCACAGCCGCCAUCGCGCACGCUGGGGGCAGGAGGGACCGAGUGGCCUCACAGGCCCCGCACCACGCCUCCUCCCACUGGCCCGCCCCGGGACUGCCCGCCCUGGGAGCCACCACCUUCGCCCCCAUGCCUUUGAUCGUUUUUGUUCAUGCUCCUGGGUUUUCUGCCUGCUGCUUCAGGGUUGCCAGGAUGGAGCACUGAGGCCAACGUCCACAAAGCACUUCCUCAAGCCAUCCCUCCACUCCCCAUUGUCUGGGAGCCUCACCUCCACUGGGCGUGGAGGCCUGAGGAGAUUCAGAGCAGCCUGGCCUUUGCGCUGCUCCCCCGGGCCAGGCCGGGGCGGGGUGGGGUGGGGUAGCCAGGCCUAGGCUCAGGCCCCGCCAUCGGUGCAGGAGCAUGCGGUUGCCUGUCCUCCCCACCUGCGCCCACUUCUUGUGAUUUCUUUUUUUGGCGGGGUGUGUGGGGGGGGCGUUUUUCUUUAUUAUUUAAAAGACAGAAAGCUAGGGGCGCCUAAAUCUAGAAUCUGGGUCUGCCACUGGCCGCAGGGUUCACCGCAGCCAGCACCCGAGACAGGAGCCGUGUGCCCAGCAGACCGCAAGUGCACAGGGGAGUGGGCAGCCCUCCGGCCCGGCUCUCCCCCAGCUUUCAGGCAGGCUCUGAAACGUGACCGGCUGGGGCUCUGCUGGCCAGCGGCUGCUGUCCCCUCUCCAGCCAGGCCAUCUGGUCCCACGUUUCUGCCUGGCCCGCACUGACCGGGCUUCCAGGGUUGGGAGUGGAACCCUCCCCACCUCAGGGUUAUCCUUACUCUUCCUUUUCCUCCCGCCAAGAGUUCUGCCAGGGGCGGGUUUAAAAAAAAAAGAACACCCAACAACAAAGAAAAUCCCACCAGAGAGACAAACCACCUCUACAUAUUACGGAAAGAAAAUAUUUUUGUCAAUUCUUAUUCUUUUAUAAUUAUGCGUGUAAGAAGUAGAUACAUUAAACAAUUCCAGAUGGAAGCGUU